UCCUGCGCGCAGCGAGAGUGCGGGCGGCUGAAGUCGCUGCGUUGUUCUUUCUUUCCCAAGUUGAUAGUGGCUCCCGGUCCUGCGGUCUUGCUUUGUUUUGCAAAUCGCAGAAUCACAGAACGGGGGAGGUUGGAAGGGGCUGAAAUGGGUCAACUGGUCCAAGCUCCCUGCUCAAGCAGCACUUGGCACAGGAUCCCAUCCGGAUGAUUCUUGAGUAUCUCCUGUGAGGGAGGCUCCACAACCUCUCUGGGCACCUGCUCCAGUGCAUGGUCACCCGCACAAGAGAGUUUUUCCUCGUGUUCAGGUGGAACAUCUGAGCAUCCAUUUCUGCCCAUUGCCUCUUGUCCUCUUGCUUAGCCUGGCUCCAUCCUCUGACACCUUCCUUCAGAUACUGAUAGACAUUGAAGAAGUCCACACUCAAUCUGUUCUCGAGGCCAAACAGCCCACUCCCUCAGCCUAUCCUCCAGCUGACCAUUCAUCCUUAUUGCACUCCACUGGUUGCUCCAGAAGCUCCACAUCUCCCUUGUACCGAGGAACCAAGAACUGAACACACACCACUUCUGAUACAGUCUCACCAGGGCUGAGUAGAGGAGCAGAAUCAACCUCCUCGAGCUGCUGGCCGUGCUCUUCCUAUAGCACAGGACACCAUUGGCCUUCUUGGCCACAAGGGCACGGCUGGCCCGUGGCUUGUUGCCCACCAGGACCCCCAGGUCUUUCUCUGCAGAGCUGCUUUCCAGCCGGUCAGUGGUAAUGAUAAGCUCCCACCUCAAAGAGUGGAACCUGAUGUAUGUCUAUUUUUUUCCCUCCUUCAUGUCAGUGAAGAACUUGGAAACUGGCAGAAGUGCUCCAGGAUUAAGGAUAAUUUUUGGUCAUGGAAUAGUCAAUGAUGUGUGCUGAAAAAAUACAGAAAAUUUGACAGCUUGAGAGAGACUUUCCAUAAGACAGAAGUCCAUGAGUCAAGGUUUAACCAUAAAAUGCACAAGUGAAGAACUCACUGCUGCUAUCUGAUUCCACAGAUCAUGCAAACAGGUGAAGAUACCUUCCAGUGAGAUGCCAUGAAGUGCAGACAGCAGGUGACUUCAGUGAGUGAUUCAAUGAGGCAGCUUCUGAAGACUCAGCGCCCAUUUGGAGCUGCCAGAGGAGCUGUGUCAGCUGGCAGAAAUACAGAAACUGAGAAGGGAGAAAGUAAUAGAAGACUACAGAAUGAAUGAGGAUGGUCUUUUGAUCCAACCAGCUGUGGAAUUUAAUAGAGGGAAACAAUCCACAGAGGAUAGAAACUACAGAGAUGAUGGUGAUUGUUUUCCCACAAAAAAAAAAAAAAAAA